GCUACUGAGCAGAGGUGAGAGUUGUGGGUGAGCAAAAAGAACAAUAUCAUCGAAAGCGAAGAGAUCUGCUGUUGUUUGGAAAGAAGUGAAUGAAAUAGAGAGAGGAAAUGAGUCGUGGUAACCAAAGAGACAAAGCCCGGCAGAAAAAUUUGAAAAAGCAAGAAGAAUCUCGAAAGAAAUCUACAGCUGAUAAGAAAACUGGCAAUAAGGGAAUGACACUUGAAGAACGAAGACAUAGAGAUGCUGACAUAAUGCGUAAAAAACAAGAGAAGAAUAAAGCCACGGAACCAGCUGGAUCUGCAGUUGCUGAAAAAUAGGGGAUUUUGUCCUGAGCUAUAUUUAAUGUGGCUCCCCUUUGCUCUCUGUCACCUUUUCCCAAAGCAGCUCUAAGGUAGUUUCUUAGGAAAAUGGCUAUAAUCCACCCCCCUCUUUUUCUCUGUCCCUUCAAGAUAAAAAAAAAUACUGUCCUUUUUUUUUCUUCUUCUACGUGAAUCUGUAAAUGUUAUUUUGUUUUAAGUUUUCAAUGUACAAACCUUUUCUUUUUCUUUUUCAAGUAACAUAAUGCCCUGUAAAUUAACUGGUACUAUCUCCUCUGUACAGUGGUUUAGCACUGUUAAAUAACCUAAUUGUCGUCAGACAGCCUAACUCAUGCCAUUUAUGUACAUAAAAAAAACAUCUUCAAACUUUUUAAUCUGACCAGAUGAUCAUCAGUUGAAUAAAGUAAGUUCUCUUUGCAAAAAUACGACUGAACCUUCCUAACCAGAAA
rnacentral:lncRNA from 1 species